AGUCCGCGAGCGAAAGACCGCGCGCGCCAAGCCUGCGCGGAAGUGGUCCUCCUGUGGUGGAGCAGAAGGGCCGGACGCUCCCGGUUUCGAUGGCAACCCCUGCGUCCCGAGCUUCUCUGGGUCCUCCUGAGAUUCUUUCAUUGACUCACAAGAGGGAGAUUAGAAGACCUGCUUUCUCAAUCUCCCACAUCUAAAGAUGCUGAAAAAGAUGAUAUUGACAUCAAUAUCAGAGGAUUCUGACUCAGGCCUAACAUGCUUAUCAUCUGGCACAAAGAGGUCACUUAGAUUGAUGGAAUCAAUGCAUGCAUGGGCUUGAUCUGACCUUAUUCACCACUCCUACGAGAAACCAAUGGAGGAUGCCAAUACCUGAGAAGAUGCUGGAGCCACCAGAUGAAAAGUGCUUGGAGCUUGAGUACCUGAAUGACUUGUGGAGUAAACUUCUACUUACUUCAUUUACUUCAUCCCAACCAAUCAAAUUGGACUAUGAGAUUAAUAAGAAAUGAUUAUUCUGUUAGGCAUUGGGAUUUUGGAUUGUUUAUCACCUUCAGAGCCUUAUAUUCACCCAUCCAGGGCUGGGAUAAAAAGCACUUAAGCAGCCUGGCACACACCAGUCAUCCCCCCCAAUCUGUAAGUACUUGAAAGAAGCAGGUCCUCUUGUAGUGCUGACCCCUGGCUCCUGUGUUUUCCACCACUUCCUCCCUGACUGAGAUCUAGAAUGGGACUUGGUCAGUGCUGCCACUGGAGAACUAAGGAGUUGCAGUUCUUUAUGCCCACAAGUUGCCCUGUUCUGGUAAUGGGCACUGCUUCCUGAGGCUGGGUUCCAACACUGUUUAUAAAGCUUAGUCCUGCUUUUGGAUUUUUUAGCUUAAUAUCCCAGGAGUUCCGAAGAAUGAGACCUUGCUUCGCUUUUGCUGGGUCCUGCACCAGAGCUAUGCCCCCUAAUCCAGAGGCCAUUACAUGUUCAUUAACCAUGGUGAGCAUGGUAAGUUGGCUUUCUGUCUGUUUGUAGUCUUGAGUUUUGCUUAGUCAUAAGUUUAACUUAUGCUGGGAAACCUUGCUCUGCCCUGAUGACCUAGCUGCAGACCAAGCAUUUGCUUAAACUUUGUCCAUUUCUCCUGCAGUUCACUGAGGCACCUUUGCCCCGCUGAGCUGUCAGAGCCUUUACAUUCAGCUGGGCCCACACCUUCCUUUCACCACCUGGGAUGGGUGGGUCUGGAGCAAAGUAUCCUCCUGACAUUCCUCUCCAGCCUAGAGUAAGCAGUGCAGCCUCACAGGGACGUUCUGAGAUUAGCACAGUUCAGGUGUCAUCAGGUCCUUUGUUUUUCCAUUGGCAUUUAGUAUUUCAAUGAAUGCUUUAUAUUGUGAUAAAUAUACUUUAAUUUUAGAGUAUA